rnacentral:rRNA from 1 species
GACACAGGGAGGUAGUGACAAGAAAUAACAAUACAGGGCGAAUGUCUUGUAAUUGGAAUGAUGGUGACCCAAACCCUCACCAGAGUAGCAAUUGGAGGGCAAGUCUGGUGCCAGCAGCCGCGGUAAUUCCAGCUCCAAUAGCGUAUAUUAAACUUGUUGCAGUUAAAAAGCUCGUAGUUGUAUUUUUGCGUUGACGGUUUGACCAUUUGGUUGGUUAUUUCGUUUUCGCUUUUGGGAAUUUCCCUUUUUACUUUGAGAAAAUUAGAGUGUUUCAAGCAGACUUUUGUCUUGAAUACUUCAGCAUGGAAUAAUAGAGUAGGACUUUGGUUCUAUUUUGUUGGUUAUUGAACCUUAGUAAUGGUUAAUAGGAACGGUUGGGGGCAUUCGUAUUUAACUGUCAGAGGUGAAAUUCUUAGA